rnacentral:rRNA from 1 species
UCCUCCAAGGCUAAAUACUCCUGACUGACCGAUAGUGAACCAGUACCGUGAGGGAAAGGCGAAAAGAACCCCGGCGAGGGGAGUGAAAAAGAACCUGAAACCGUGUACGUACAAGCAGUGGGAGCACGCUUAGGCGUGUGACUGCGUACCUUUUGUAUAAUGGGUCAGCGACUUAUAUUCUGUAGCAAGGUUAACCGAAUAGGGGAGCCGAAGGGAAACCGAGUCUUAACUGGGCGUUAAGUUGCAGGGUAUAGACCCGAAACCCGGUGAUCUAGCCAUGGGCAGGUUGAAGGUUGGGUAACACUAACUGGAGGACCGAACCGACUAAUGUUGAAAAAUUAGCGGAUGACUUGUGGCUGGGGGUGAAAGGCCAAUCAAACCGGGAGAUAGCUGGUUCUCCCCGAAAGCUAUUUAGGUAGCGCCUCGUGAAUUCAUCUCCGGGGGUAGAGCACUGUUUCGGCA